AUUGAAAAAUGCAGACCACCAAGGCACUGCUCAUUUCUCCAGUUCUGAUCCGCUCCUGUACCAGGGGUCUAAUCAGGCCUGUGUCUGCCUCCCUCCUGAGUAGACCAGAGGCUCCAUCUAAAAAGGUAAGGAAGGCAGGCCCCUCAGGAUGUCCCCGGGCAAAGGACUCUGCAGUUAACUGAGGUGCUUUUAGGAAUUAAAAGGAUCUACGACACCCCAUCUAACUCCAAGACUCAGAUGACAGUCAUAGAUGUGACUAGCCCUGUCUGAGAACACUCUGGGACUGACAUUCUCCCUGCACGCAGAGCACUCUGCCCUUUGAGGCUGUGUGCCAGCUGCUUCUUAGCUCAGGUGGGUGGGGUGAGCGUGGAGCAGCCACCUGACAGCUGCCUCACUGCUCCUCACUCUUCCUGACUGCCUCCCUUUCUUCUAGCCUUCCUGCUGCAGCUCCCCUCUCCAGGUGGCCAGACGGGAAUUCCAGACCAGUGUUAUUUCCCGGGACAUUGACACAGCAGCCAAGUUUAUUGGUGCUGGGGCCGCCACAGUUGGUGUGGCUGGAUCAGGGGCUGGCAUUGGCACAGUGUUUGGUAGCUUGAUUAUUGGCUAUGCCAGGUAAGUUUGGGGCUGCCUGGGGUGUUACUUCAUAUAAGUUCCACCCUGUUUGGGGAGAGUCUUAGCAGGCAAGGGUCUCCAAGUGGAUGUUCUUUUACCUCCUAUUUAUUUCUCCAGUGACCUAAGUCAGAAUUAAAGUAUGCCACAUGUAAACUUGCCAAGUUGCUGGUCAUUCCUGUCCCAGUCCUCAGGGUAGAUGUAGGCUAGCCCCUUUUGGCACAGUAACAUACUCCCUUCCCUCACCCAGACCUUCACCCUUUCCUGUCUCUGGCAG
rnacentral:lncRNA from 1 species